rnacentral:rRNA from 1 species
ACGUAGGGUGCGAGCGUUAAUCGGAAUUACUGGGCGUAAAGCGUGCGCAGGCGGUUUUGUAAGCCAGAUGUGAAAUCCCCGGGCUUAACCUGGGAACUGCAUAUGGGACUGCAAGGCUAGAGUACGGCAGAGGGAGGUGGAAUUCCACGUGUAGCAGUGAAAUGCGUAGAUAUGUGGAGGAACACCGAUGGCGAAGGCAGCCUCCUGGGCUAGUACUGACGCUCAUGCACGAAAGCGUGGGGAGCAAACAGG